rnacentral:rRNA from 1 species
AUUGAACGCUGGCGGCAUGCUUUACACAUGCAAGUCGAACGGUAACAGGGAGCUUGCUCCGCUGACGAGUGGCGAACGGGUGAGUAAUGCAUCGGAACGUACCCAGUCGUGGGGGGAUAACGUAGCGAAAGUUACGCUAAUACCGCAUACGUCCUGAGGGAGAAAGCGGGGGACCGUAAGGCCUCGCGCGAUUGGAGCGGCCGAUGUCGGAUUAGCUAGUUGGUAGGGUAAAGGCCUACCAAGGCGACGAUCCGUAGCGGGUCUGAGAGGAUGAUCCGCCACACUGGGACUGAGACACGGCCCAGACUCCUACGGGAGGCAGCAGUGGGGGAAUUUUGGACAAUGGGCGAAAGCCUGAUCCAGCCAUGCCGCGUGAGUGAAGAAGGCCUUCGGGUUGUAAGCUCUUUCAGGUGGAAAGAAAACGACAUAGGUUAAUACCUUGUGCGGAGUGACGGUACCAUCAGAAGAAGCACCGGCUAACUACGUGCCAGCAGCCGCGGUAACU